CCCUUGGUAGUCUAGUUGGUUAUGGCGUUCGGCUGUAAUUGUCUCUAAGAUAUUGUAGUUUACCGAAAAGUCGCUGGUUCGAUUCCGGCCCGAGGGA